GUUUUUAAUUUCGCGAGCUGCCAGCAGGCACCGUGCCGUUUGUCAGGAUAUUUUUCCCCUGUGCAAGCAGCGAGGGACCUGGUUAAUCAUCUAUCGCAGAUCCGUGUGCAUGAGAAAGAAAAGUGUUGAUGUUUGCUUGUUCGGGCUGAUGGGAAUGGCCCACGAAUUUAGGAUUAAAUUACUAACGGUAAUCGUAAAUCUUUGUUUCCUCUCUCCUUCUCUUUUCUACUGAAGUAAAGCGUGCAACACACUCCGGACAAAAUCUGCACGGUAGCUUUGCGGUAUAAAAUGAGCUACGGAACUGUCCGAGGUUCAAUGGGGUCUCUUCAGAUUUUAACCAGAGCCCGUUAAGCGGGGCCGGUCCCAAUAACUUUAGACACGUUUGCACAGUUGGACCUGUGGGAAGGAAGCGGAGCAGCACCGCGGAAGGCAGUAUUCAUCACUUCAGCAGGGCAGCUGAAGGAGAGCUGAAAAGCAGCAGUGAGUGCCCACUCCUGGCAAACCUUUACAGGUAGGGAUUUCAAGGGUUGAAGUACUGGCUUUCAGAGUGAGAGCUUGAUAUUGAGAGGUUCUUCUCUACACUUCCACAAGGGAAUGAAGUUCACUUUGAUCCUAUUAGGAAGGAUGGGCACCAUCAGACCUUCCUAAGAACAAUACCCACCUCUCAAAGGACUCCAGACUUUCCUUUUUGGCCUGCAGUACCUGCGGAUUCUACACGUCCUUAGGCACCUCCUGAGGUACAACAGCAGCUCUGGUUAUAAGGCCAUAUUCAAGCACAUCUUGCAGUGCUGGAGUAUAUCCCUUGUUAGGUUGUCCAUUAUCUACACUUCACAUUUCCUGAUCCACUUAAUGAUUUUUUCAAAGUGGGCUCCUACCUUAAAUUCCUCUCACUGGAAGUUUAUUUGAGCUUGACCCUGCGGUCCUAAGGGGAGAAGCACCCUGCAUUUAUUUAUGCUAGUUUUUACCAGACUGUUUUGAAUAUGGCGUGUUUUGAACUUGGUAAUAUAGGUAAUUAUUGCUGUUAUAGCUUAACUGAUAAUAUAGAAACUUUUAAGAAAAAUAGCUUUCAAACAGCACCUGGGGAAAGUGUAGGUCAGCUGAGGGGAAUGGUCCUUGGGAAACCAGCUUAUCUACUUUUGAGUGAGAAAGUCUUGUCAGAAUCACACUGGUAGUAAUUGCAUCAAGACAGAGCGAUAUCCAUUCCCAGUCUGAUCCCUCGCCAACCCCACUGAAUCCAUCAUCUCUGGUUUCAGGUCUGACUGCUCUUCCCUUUCACUUCUGAAAGAAAUCUAGCAAGGGACAGGAUGAGGAAUCCAAAGUUCACUGGGACCAGAAGAAGAACCAGGGGGCUUUGAAGACGUUCCACCUCUGAGUCCCCCGCCAUAAGGCAGCUGCACGCUCUUUCCAUGCUUGAACAAGCACAUAGUUCCCAGCCUCUCAGAAGCACAGUAGUUUUAUGCAUUUGUCUUUACAUUUUUUUUUCUGCUUGGCAGCUGAAUGGGCAAUUUGCAGCUCCCCAUGAAGAGCAAGCCCAGUGGGCAAAUGGCAUUUAGUUUGUGAGCUUUGCAUGAAAGUUACAUUUCCUUUUUCCCCUCUGUAGUUCAAACCUCCGGCAAACUUCCCCCUGCAGCUCUGGAAAAUAUAAACAAUCCCUUUGCUGUUAGAAACCAGCAUGUUCAAGCUUUGAUUUGUGAUUUUCUAGGGAAGAAAAGUAUCAUCCUUCAGUGAGAAGAUCUGCAUGCCGGAGUCACAGAAGUAGGUCAGUCUCAAACAGCAUCUAAUUAGGCAGAUUUCUAUUGUUUAGCCAAGCAGAUGCAUCCAUCACCGAACAUUAGAUGGUGCACCAGCCAGUAACAACAGCUACCAACUCCUUAAGAUGCAGACAUAAGAAACCUCCUUUGCUUACUGGCUGGGGCUUUGACCCAUGCAGUAACAAUCCUUCCAAGGUAUCAGUAAGAAAAUGAACCAAGUAGCUGUGCUUGUGUUACGUCAGUGGUUCCCCACCUUCGAGAUCACAACACUCAGCAAUGGAAGGAAAGAAAUCAAAAUGUUUGAUUCUUUUCCCAGGCAGGUUUUCAUUCUCUCUCACCCACUUUAAGGUCAGCUUGACUUUUUCUCAAGGAAUUUUUAAAAAUAAUCAGGCAUAAAGUACAUUUGAUGGAACAGGGGGGUCUCUUCCAAUGGUGCUCUUUGAGCGCCUGAUUUGUCAGACCCUGUACACCCUGUGGCUGAAGGUGUCAGCCACAGUAACUCCAGCAGCAAAGGAAGGCAGUUAUCUGCCUCUACACAGACUUUUCCUCAGGCUGUGCUGCAGCCAAAUCUGUCUAGUGCCCUUCUUUUGCUGGGAAACAGACAAGAGCACAUCAACUCACUGCAAACACCAACAUCUAGUAGCACGUCUACCUGAGUUCAUGGAUAAACAAGUCAUUUCUAUGGUCCCAAUGGUAAAAAUAACAGUUUCUAUUUCAAUCUGUUAUGAUUUCCCAUCAUUUUGAAUGAUUGGCUUCAGUUUCCAAGUCUCAUGAGUCUUUCUGAAGCUUGGAUAUUUUAUACUCAGAAAUCCAUGCAGUUAAAGUAAGGAUGAUCCCCUGUGAGCUAUCUAUUUGUUAUUAAUCUGAUCAGGGUUUUGCAGGAUGCACCAGCUUGGCUAAACAACAAGACACCACAGUGUGCCUUGGGAAAGGUGCUCUCAACAGAGUGGAGAGUUUAAGCCGUAGAAAACUACAGUUUUCUAACACACAACAGACCCUUUUCAAAUCAAAUACUUUUUUUUUUUUCCAACUCAAAUGCUUUGUAAUAUUAUUUUUUUUGCUGAAAAGACUGAUUCUUCUGUUCUCAUAAAAACUAAAAGGCAAAGCUUUGCUUUUCUAAUCAGCUCUCCUUUAAGGGUUCAAUGGGACUGACUGAGCAGAGUGCCCGCAGUCACUGUCCUUAUCAAAAACUAUCAGCAUCAGCCCAAUAACCUGUUUGAGAAUUACCUGAACUCAGUGUAUAAAGGGAUAUACAGGCAUAUAUAUAUACAGAAAACAGAGUGCCAUGCAUUACUAAGUUUUUACAAGGUUAUGAAGAUGUUUUUAUUGAGAAACGUUUGCAAGUUUCAGAUGGCUGGCAGAUGUGUUAAAGAACAUAUGAUUCAAAUAGAAAACCUUUCUUUUUAUUGCCGAAACACUAAUAAGAGUGCACUUUAAUAUGCCUUAAUGUGUUACUCCUUAAUUGACAGCAGAUGUUUCCUGAACAGCGUUUUUAAAAGACGUGCCGCACUUCAAAACAAGAAGAAAUAAAGCCUUACUGUACAUACAAGAGCUUCCAAAAACAACGCCUCCCCUUGCCAAUAAUUGUUUAUAAAAACAGCGUUCCAGAUUAUUUGAAAAUCAAUAUUAAGUCCCAUGGAACAUGUCAGAGUAAAUCUGAUGUUAUUUCAACAGAACCUUAACACAGUCGGUGUUCAAGGGCUCCUUUUGCUUUCCCUCCAGCCUCCAAAAUGGGAAACAUCACAUAGCCCUCAGUGCUUGAUCAGAAGGGAACGGGAUAAAAAAGGUCAUCUAAAAGAGAAACCAAGUGCCCAUGUACUUGGACAGACAGAGACAGCUCCCAGCAGAACCAGCUACACCUCUGAAAUCUUAUCUGAGGUGCAGCAGUAUGAUUUUUAGUGCUUACAUGGACGAUAUUGCAAGCGUUAGAGCCUCCUCAUCCCCCUUCUGCUGGAAUGAGCUCAGUGAAAUAAGAGUGGUCCUUCCAUGUGCUGAUUUGAUUUGGAAUUUAAUUCCUGUAAUGGCAUCAAAUAAAAAAUAUUCAGCAGCAGGAGUUACACAUGCAAAUUAAGAAGAAAAACAUGGAAUUUUAUUAUCUACAGUAAAGGAGAGAGAUAAAUAUAAUCAAACUAUUGAUGGGUAAAGAUCAGAGGAAGAUUAUCUUUUGUAAGCACAGAAGACCUGCUGAUGUCCAGGGAAAAUCAGAGGUAGAGAACGCAGCCCUCUGCUCCCCACACUCACCCAGGAGCAGCCCCACAACUCCCCAUCUCUGCACACCAUGAUGUGUGCAGGGCCCCAAUGAGCCCGUUUGAUGUGUUUGUAAUUGUAACACACUGAGCUCCCCAAAGCAUGCUGUGAGCUGCGACUUGUAGUAACAAAUGACAGAAUCCUUAAAUACAGCCAAGCUGUGGUCAGUGUUUAUUUAUUUUUAUUAUGUAAACAGCCCAUGCUUUGGGUUAUUAGAGUUUAGCAUUAAAAGCACUUGAUCAUUUAAACUGACUUGAUGUUAUCAGACCUUUUUUUAAUCCUUGUUAAAAUACUAAGUAAUUGACAGUGCUUUUUGUUAUCCGGGUUAUAAAAUACAAAUCAUUAGGGCAAUAAAUAUUAUUCAUUUAGAACUGAUGCAAACCAAAUGUUUUCUUCCUUAAAAUACUCAUAAAAGUGAAGUUUUAUCUUCCAUCUGGCAAUGCCUCUUAUGCCAAAAUGUUCUGAGUGGAAUUGCAUUAAUAAGAAGACAUCAAGAGAAAUAUGUUACUUGUAUCCUUUAAUAUGCCUUUGUAAACUGAGAUACACGUUGGCCUUCUAUCAAUAAGCAUCUCUACCUGUGGGUUUUGAGAAGGAUUAAUAGAGAAGAACCAUUACAGGAUGAAAGGAUCGAGCAUGCUGGGAGAAAAAUGAAAAUCAAACAUCCACCAAUGCAAACACUUCCUUCCAGGAUAAUAUUUAGGUUUUAUUUUAUUUUCUUAAUUUAAAUAUAUAUAUAUAUAUAUAAAUAAAACGUUUAAGCUCAUUUUAGAUAGCGCACAUCUGCACUGCAAUAAGGCAGUUUUCAAAAGUGCAGCUCUCAGUGGGAUAUUUAUUUAAUUCGUAUUGGUUUUGGACCUCAGCCUAUAAUGAGAAAAGAUAUGGGCACAUGCUAGAGGUGGUGGCUGCGACUUGGACUUUUUUGAACAUUAAAGCAGAAAAAGCCUUUGCUUGUAGGGAGGGUUUAGUGAAAAUUCAAUAACUUUUGCUUCAGACCCUGUGCUUCAGAGCACCAAUAAAGACAAGAGAGAACCGACACAGACACUGAAUUCACAACAGAGCUCCUGGAAAAUGCCAACCAAUUCUGGCAGGAAUUUUCCAACAUUUCUCUCCUCAGAUACUUUUCACUUUUCUGAUCAACUCUGAUUUCAAAACCAAUUUCAACCCAGCUCACGUUAUUCACAUGCAACGUGUUCAGGCACAGUCUCUGCAGAUGCGUCCGGCUCCCCACCUCCAUUUCUCCAUUUCAUUGGUAAAUGACCUCCCCGAACUGAACUAAAAGUAGCCCAUUGCAUGCACAUUGCAGGUUUUGCACCAAAUUUGUCCAUUUUGAGAGAGUUUUAGCACAGAGAAGAAAGCAGAAGGCUUUUCCCAUGUGGCUGGGGGGCCAGUGGGCAAUGCUGGGGGCAGCGGAGGGUUGCUGCAUCAGUCCUGCGCUCAUGUGGGUCAAAACCAGAAGUGAAAUGGGGAAGCGUUCCCUGGCCACAGACUGUACAUCCUCUGGCACUGUUGUGAAUUUUGCUCCAUCCCAGGGCCAUUUUGCUCCAUCUUAGGGCCCAAUUCAAUGACUACAAUUGAUUUUUUGGUACUUCAGUGGCUUUGCAUGGAAACCAGAGGAAUCAUUUUUUAUUGAAUACAACCUUUAGAGCACUAGCUCACCAGUUUUCUUCAAUACACUCUAAUAAAGUAAUACCAACAUUUCCCAGCUCUCCAUAACUUCAUUAUUCUGUGCCUCUUUGGGACACUAGAAUCUCUUACCCUGACUCUUUCAUGGAUGGUGGAUUUCACAUCCAAUGCUAAUUUGAGGGCUUCAAAUGUGUGCGUGUGUACAAGCACACACGUGCACUUUUUUACAUAUGCUCAGCAUCAUCUGUCAGACCCUGUAGAUAAAAUAGCACCUCCAUGUGCCUGUCAGAAAAAUGCGUUUGACUUUCAGGCAUUGUUUUCAUUAAACCAGGAUCAGGACCUGGCCACAGACUCCAAAGUGUGAAUGGAAACAAUUUCCCUGUGCAGGAAUCUCAGCUGACGUGCAGCUGCUAAGAGCUGCGUUCCUCUCGGUUAUGUCUUCCCUGAAACCAUAAAUAGUCCCCAAAGCCAAUGCAAAGCUCACCCUGCAGCGCUGCGUGGUGCUGUGUCCUCCUUCCCAGGCUAACUUUGCAUGUCUCACCUGUGUGAUUUUUCUCCCACGUGGGGCAGAGCCUGGCCCUUAUAUACUUGUGCAGUCUUGACUAUGGUUUUACUUUGGGUUGUUGGCCUUGUACAUGCUCCUGCACUCCGAGCAUUCAGCAAUCAUGAAGAGCAAUGGCGAGAGCACACCCUACGUGUCACUCCAUGGUAUCCUUCAGUGUACUUUUCUCUCUUUAGGGAUUUUGCUUUUCCAACGUGCUCACCCCUUACUUCCCCUCCUGGCGCUAUUGAAAUAAACGGGAAUUUUUUGAAAAUCAAAGCUGGGUUAAUGACUAAGGGUUUUUUAAAGAUGGAGCAGUUGAAGCAGUGAUUAUUGGGGCAGGAGGAAAUCUCCUGCAGGUAUUAGUCUUACAGGACGGCAUGCCAAAGGUUACUAUGGUGCUUGCGAUGUGGAACGAUGAUGAAAUACUAUGGGAAAAGCAAGUCCCCCAGCUACAAUGUAUGCAUUUGGUGGUCAUGGCUAUGCACCAGUUGUGAUCAAUGGGUGUAAAGGCAGGGUCAGGGCUGCAGCAGCCGGAGAUGCUGGUGCUUUGCAAUCUAGCUGGGCCCCAACCAAGGGGCUGAGUUUCCACAAUUCAUUUAUCAUAAACCAGCAAUUUGCAAAUGUUAGCACUUUUCCCACACAUCAUGAGCCCUGAUGGACUUUAAUAAAAGAGAGAGAGAGAAAGAAAGGGAAGGAGAGAGAGAAUACCUACAUAAUUAGCUAAAGUUCUCAGAAUGGCUUUAAUUGGGAAAAUGUUACCUUUCUGGAAAUAAUUGCUAUAGAGAUUUUCAUUUGUUUUCUAGGUUCUGGUUUUUUUACGUUGGUUUCACAUCUGCUAAUUAACCAGUUGUCUCUGUUAAAGAGUUUUUGCACCUCUCUUUUACCCUCAAGACAGCACAUUUUCCAGUUUGCUUGAUUCUGGUAGUCACAAAAAUUAGAAUACUUGCAUUAAUUUGGUUUUCACACUGUUUUUAAGCUAAAGGCCUCUAAAGGGGAGGGAUAACAAAGAAAAAUAAAGGGUAAACAAAUCUUGAAAACAGAUGAGAGUGAGAGUUUAGGAAAAACAAAACAAAACAAAACAAAAAAAACUAUCUGGCAGAGAUGCUUGUGGGGUACAUGGGCAGACAUCACUCAUCUCAUUGAGACGCCUCUGAGCUCUGAGAAGUCCUGCUGUGGGGCUGGACUUCCUCCAGUCCGCAGAAAGGUAACCGUGGCUGAAAGAAUGAAGUCUAUGGAUGGAGGGAGGAACAAGAGUUGACACUUUUAGCUAAUACCGGUGAUAACAUCACUUUAACAUGAUUUUCUAGGGAUCUUUUUUCUCUAGAUGAGUAUCUUUCUUCCCAGAGUGGGCAAUAACAGAGACUUCAAUGACAGGGAUAAAAUAUUCAGAGCUGAAUAUCUGUGAUUAUCAGAUUUUCUCCCAGUGUUGUAGGAAGGAGUUGUUCCUGUCACAGAGAGCAGAAAUCAGAGGGUUUAGAUCUCUUUGAUUUGUUUAUUCCAUCUCAUGCAGUUUUGCUACCUUGUCUACCUGUCUGCAUUCCUACACUGUUGUUUAAUGCUAAUUAACAGAUCAGCAUGAACAUGUUCUGCAAUUCUCAGAGAUCCCUCCUCUGGUGCAUUUCUCUCUUCUUAGCCAAUCUCACAAUACUUUAGCAACUUUCCAUUCCACAUAUAACAUGUGUUCCAAAGAACAAAUCCAUUGCUGAUAAGAACAGCUAUCAUUUUCUAACUCGUAGGUGCAACAGCAGCAUCAUCUAUCAGAAACAAGAGGAGGGACUGGGGGUAAAAAAUGCCCUUAAAACAUCAGAUGCACCUAUUCAUCUAAUAAAUUUCUUCUUCUAAAAACCCCAAAGAACCACAUUGGCCUGGUGAUGAUAUCAUAGCCAAUCUCUGCCUUUACGGUUUAUGACAUCAUCAAAACCCCUCGAUGAUGUUAUAUGCUUGUGCAUCGAUGCUACCUAUCACUUUCUCCUUACAUUAUGCAUCAAACUGCUCAGAAGAGCCCACGUUUAACCAUCUAACCAUUUCACAGGUGACAGGUGGCAGAAAGCUGCAAGAAAAUGAACUGUGAGAUGUAUAAUUUUCCACUGCAUAUUGAGAUAAAAUGGAGCCUGAAAGAGAACCUGUCUUUAGACUAAUGACAAAGCAUCCAACACAGGGCAUCCAACUGUCCAGAUUUCCUCCAUCGUGUCCAGUGAUUUCUGCUCUGAAUCACCCUCUGGAAGAGCCCCCAUCAGCACACAAUUGCACCCCUGGAGACUUCACUGCCAGGUUAUGUAGCAGUCCCACAAAAUGGCAUCACCUUGCAGCAGACCUGCAGUAGUUAAGCACAAAAUGAAGCAGUGGAGCACUCUUGAUGGCUACAGCACACACCACAGCCCCUGCCAGAAAAUGAUGUGGUGUGAAGCCGACAACUGUCACCUUUUUAACCCACAGUUUGGUUCUAGUGUUCUAUACUCAGAAAAUGUCUGUUCAAGGCCCAGAAUAUUGAGUGGCUUGCUGAUGCAUUCCUUCCCACAUAUACAAACCUGGGCUUUGUUUGUUUUAUUGCUUGCUCUCAUUUCCAAGCCUGCAGCAUACGUGCUUCCCUGCAGUGGGAAGGGCUUAGAGGAAGUCCAUCCUGCAAAAAACACACUCCCUAAGUUGUUGCUUGAUUCUAGGAUCCACAGUUAGAAAACAAACCAAAACAUGGAGGCAGCAGAUGAAACCUCAACUACUGGUAAUGCUGAUGCUUCCUAUGGAAUUCUCCAAGCUGCAAGUGUCUCGUAGCCAAAUCCCUCUGACAAAUCGGUGCCUGUGUGGGUAAUAUCAGCACUGUGCUCAAGCAUCUUCCCUACCUUCUUUCCAGCUCAGGCAAUGGCCUGAGGUGGUGCUGGCUGUGAAAUGAGCCCCCAUCACAUAGUAGCUGAGCAAUGCAUAUCUCCUAGCGCAUUUUGUUCCCUUUAACGCAUUUCUUCUUUUUCUUUUCAUGACCUGCUGCCAAAAUCUCUUUGCUAAGGUUUCUGCCACCAUCGGCACCACACAAGAAAAGUGUCUUUGUUAACACAUUUAGGACCUGCUUUUAAUUUCUACAGUAUUCCCUUUAAUAACAAUGUCUAAUUAAAACAUCUGUUAAAAAGUCUGUAACAUUAACUUUACAGGGAGAAUUUAAUAGAAUUAUAUUUGAAUUGCAGCCAUUUAACGGUUUUCCUAAUUAGGCUGUUGAGUUUUUAUUUUUUUAACAAAAACAUUACACAAAUUAAAAUCAGGCCCAGUUUUUUUUUAUUAUUAUUAUUACAACAUAGACUGUGGUCAAAAAAAGGCCGGCAGUAUGUGAUGGUGUGUAAAGGGUGGAAAAAAAAACACACUAGCAGCCUGUGACUGAAACGCUAAAAUGCACAAAAUUAAACAAAUAAGAGAAGAUAUUUGAAAGGGGGAGGAGAAGAAGAGAGAAAAGAAAUUUCUCUGGCCUGUUAUUUGCAUGCUUUCCUUGAACACAAAUCCUUCCAAGUAUCUCCCCGUUGCUCUGUCUCCAGCCCCUGCCACCAUUCACUUCUCCUGGCUCUCACCUGUUUGGACCUUGUCUGAAUCUGGGAGCAAAAGACAUUGUAAAGAAGCCUCAGCAACCUGGGGAAAAAAAUAAAAAAUAAAAAAGGAUUUAUGCUAGAUUUGUGUUUGUCCACAUCCCAGAAGCUUGAGUCAAGACCUUUCCUGUCUGCAUUUCACAAUAUUGAGUGUGUUGGAAGACACUUUUGAGGCUCGCUUCUCCGGAGAGCUUUCCCAAGGUAUUCCCUGCUCUCAGGGCUGCAGACAGGUAACACAUAGCUCCAUGAUGCUUUAAGUUUCUUCCUUCACCAUGGGAAAAAACUAUCACUUGCCUAGCACAGUGGGAGCCAGACCCUCACAGAGUUAUGCAUGAUUGUGCCAGUCCAUAAAGAUGCCAGGUAUGCAGAGAUGUUGCAUGAACAUUAACUAUGCCAUUUCUUUGCAGAAAAGAAAUCUUUCUUUCCUCUGCAAAUGGUGCUUUUUGUGCUCUAAGAUGUUGUGUCUGUUUGCCUAUAAGAGCUCUAGCAGUCAUAUUUGGCAUAUGUACAGAAAUACAUAACCUUCAAAAGAUUCUAUGAUUCUAUGAUCUUCACUAGAAGCUGCAUUGUUAAACUUUUGAAGGCAAAGAUUUGCAGACAUUUUUAAAUAGGAGGAACUCUGGUUCAAGAUUUUAGUUGGAGAGGAGCUAGAACUUUAAAUUUGUGGGAAAACCUCUGCUGUUCCUUUUUUUCACUGUUCUAAGCCAAAACAAAAAGGAAAAAAUUAUACAUAUCCCAGGAAGAGCAUUUACAGUAAUUACUUUUAUAUCACACAUUAUAGCUCAUAAUUUACUCACACUUGUAUGAGGUAUUUCUCAACUGAGACUAUGCAUUUUACAGAGAAGUCUGGUGAUUUUUCACUGAUCCAGUGUCAUUUUUGUGCUGAGAAUGAGCUGCAAGAUAACACUACAGUUUCGCUCUUCAGCAUAAAUAUUUCAUGUAGCUCUCAGCAGAUGCUAAAGUUAGUGCCUGUACAAACAACUCAGAUGAAAUCCUGGCCUCCAAGUUGUCAGUGACAAAACUCUUAUUGACUUCAGUAAAGCCAAGACUUCAUCUUUGGUCUUUAAAUUGAACUUAAAUUUGUAGCGACCACUGGCAAGGGGAAACCCACUUCAAAGGAACGCUCUGACAGUUGGACAUUUCUCUCCCACUGAUCUAAACUGUAGUAAUCUCAUUUUGUUUCCCAAGCUAGCUUGGAAAUCACGUUGAGAGAAGUUCAUCAAAAUAGUUCUUUUGUUCUACUGUUUUCUAGCAAAUCCAAUGAAGCAACUUCCCUCAAGGAAUUUUCUGUACCACAAAGGCCAACCUCAAAAACAAAGAGCAAGUCUAGUAGGAAAAAAAUAACAACAAAACAUUCAUGCAUAGAGAUUAAGAAAUACAUUAGCAUCCUUCAGAGUCCCAGGGCAUUGGUGAGUCUUUGAUCUCUUCUUAGCUCUGCCAUACUGCGUUGCAUUUGUGGCUUUUGGACUCACAACACAAAUCAUAGUCUCUUUAGGGCUCAUGGCCUGUGGAGACCACGUGGAAGGCAAAUAUCUGGACAAUCCUGGACCAAACAUCUAUUUUUCUGUAGCUAUGAGGGGCUUAUCUUCAUUACCAAAUAAUCUAUUUCAGGCCUGUGUUUCUUCCUUCCACCAUUCUGCACACUGUUUCUUGAUAAAACACUGAACUGAAUCCAAUUGCAAAUUCCAAAGCCAGAGUUCAAGCGAUGGACUCUGUUUUCUACAAUAACAUUAAAAAUCCAACCAGCUCCUACUGUGACUUAUGAAGUUCCUUGAAGGGAAUCCUCCAAAACUGCCUUUCUGCACAAGGAGGAUCAAAAGGUGCUAGAUGAUUCCGCCUGGUCAAUGUUUGUGGUCGCCAGAACUCUACAAAUGCCCUGUCCAAAAAUGAGCUCGAAGGAGCUCUGCAGGGGAGCUGUACACAGGUAGAAGCAUGUACACCGGAGAAGCAUGGUCAACAUGCUUUCUGUGUACUUAAAACCUCAAGGAAUAAAGUUGUUUAGGAACAAAUCCUUGAGAAUCUGCUCGGUUAUUGGUGAGGAGAGGACAUUUUGGUAGUUUCAAAUGGCAUUACACAUUUGUGGAAUAGAAAUUACAGUUCAAUGUGUGGGCAUACUUGAUUGGACAAUCUCUCAGUUGAUGGGUUCUUCUGUUCAAUUACUAUUAAAAUUCAUCAAAUGGAACAGAGUGGUUUUAAUGCCUGUAAUUGUUGUAGAAAAUGCUCUGUAAUUGGUCUUACAAAUGAAGCUGAAGAGCAAGAUCAAACUCCAUUGAAAAUGAAUCUGUCUUUCCACUGAAGAGUUCAAGAGUCACUUUUAAAAUCCAUUUUGCAGGAAGGUGUUUAGCCAGUCUCAACUCCUGUUCAUUUUGUGUGGCAGUUUUUAUUUGCUUCUUUUGGCCUCUGAUACGUAAAUGAAAUCACCAGCUCCUGAACUUGGCUCCAUGUUCUCCCCUGCCUUGUAAAUUCAAAGGAAGGGCAGUGUUACAGGCAAUGAACAGCAGACCAACUCCAAAGGCAACUCAGGUGCAUUUGGGAAGUCUGGCACUGGGAUGAAGUGAAGAGACUGCAGGUUAGAGCCGUGCUGCCUCUGGUGGAGGAGCCAGAUCCUGAAGUUUUGCCCCUUCGGCAAAUCUUGCAAACCUCUGCCUCUUGCUUUUUAUGGGUGGAGGGGAGUUAUAUUUAGCCUUGUCAGAUGAAAUGAGAGGCAAUCUAAGAGCAGGGAACAAGCAGACAGUGAGAAUUUAAGAUACUUUUGCCACAAAAAGCACUGUCACCUGGAACUCUACUGUUAGCGAAGAAAGUGGGAAAGCAAGCAGGAUACUUAGUCAAUUUUCAGAGCAUCAGUCUAAUUGCAUGUUCCACAGAGUUCAGUGAACACUUGAAUCAAAAGUAUCCUACAUUUUCACUUAAAUAUUUUCCUGCACAUCAAAUGCCUCCCUCAAAUACGGAAAACAUGGAUGCAAGUCUGCUAGACUGCCAUUCAGUUCCUUGGUAUCCCCAACCACUGGACCCACCAUCUCAGGAACCAGUAUUUACUUCUCCAUUUCUUUCUCUCACCUCUUAAAGACUCCAUACAACAACUUCUGUUCAGCAACUUUCUAUAACUGCCUUCUCUCUGCCCCUAGCUCUCACCCCAGCUUAAAACUUCCUGCUUGUCACCAUCCAUUCUGGAAAACACAGCUUAUUGUUCAUACCGCUUCUGUCAGGUCUUUUCUGCUUUGUCUACUUUGAAAGAAUUAAAAAGGGAGCUCAGAGGGGAUAAUUCUCUUUGUACAGUGAGUCGAGAGCUUUCCAUGGCACCUCCUCUCAUGAAAUGAAGUGAUGGCUGCGGAAGAAGAGGAAAACAGAUCUUAAACUGAAAACAGCUAUGUUACCACCCCCAAAGCAGUUUAAAAUCCCUCUCCAUGUUCCUGAUUUGUUACCAGAGCAUGCUAUUCAUGCACAUGCAGGCUGUCAUCAUUAGUCUGCACAUGUGAAAGAAGUUCUGUGCAGCAGUUCCUGAGGAAAAAAAGAGAAACUGUGCAAAAGCACCACAAUUAAGUAUAAACCCAGGCAUGCCUACAAGCAGGUAGCUGCAGGAAAGUGACUGGUUCUAAUUAAACUCCAAACAUAAAUAGAAAGACCAGAAUUUCAAAUAGCACCUAACAAAAUUAAGAAAAGGUCACAGACAUGGUAGUAUUUUUUAAAACCUACCAGCUCUGUUUAUGAAAACAGAUUACUUGUGAUUGUGAUUACUUGGUACACAUUCAGCACUAACUGGCUCACAGUUUUGUUGUGUAUUUAUGUACUUUGUAAAGUGUCUGUGAAGCAUCAGGAAAGGCCCUAAGUCUGCCCACAGAGCCACAGGUGGCCAAGUCUGUUCCACCACAAACUUCUGCAGGGGAUGAGCAACGUGAGAGGCAGCAGAGGGUGCUGGGUUUGUUAGGCCCAGAGCAGGGGAGGCUGAGGGGAGGCCUCAUGGCGGCCUGCAGCUCUAUCAUGGAGGCCUGCAGCUCCACCAUGGUGACCUGCAGCUCCUCACAGAGAGCAGAAGGGCAAAAGGGCUCUGAGCUCUGCUCUCUGGGGACAGCAAGAGGGCCUGAGGGAACAGCAUGGAGCUGUAUCCAGAAGGCUCAGGGGGGUUAGGGAAAGGUUCUGCCCCAGAGGGCAGUUGGUUUGGAACAGGCCGCCCAGCAGGUGUGUCAGCAGGUGUGAUGAGAAGCACCUGUGUGUCAUUAGGGUCACACAACCCUGCUCCUUCAGCCCUUCUGUGGGGGAGAUUUCUGUUUGCUUCCUAGCCAAAGGUUUGUUCUGUGCUCAGGAGGCAUUCAUGGCCCUUCUUGGGUUAUUUCUUUUCACCAGAAAUCAAAAGAAUUUUCUUCAAUUUCAGCUGAAAGCAAUUCCAUAUUUAGGUGGGAAAGGGCACUUGUCUGUGGUAAAGGUGCCUUGCUAUGAAAGAUGUGAUUUAACUAAAGUUUAAUUAUGUGUUGAAGCAGCCAUUCUGAUUGCAAUGUUUAGGCUGUAUUAGUAAUUUUUUCUAGUUUGUGACAAUUAUGCCUCUUUGUAGCCACAAGUAGUUUCAAAUUCUUUUUACUCAUUCAUUAAAAAUAAACCUGAAUUUCUUCAGCAAUUAGUAGUUACUAAGGAAAAAAUAUGUAUAUAUCAAUGUUGAUAGUCACCUGUGAAUCAGCACCCAGAGAGCUGUUUGGAGCAGGCAGCAUUGCUGCUGUUUGCUGUUCUGCCUGUAGCUAAGCAGCAAGCUGAGAAUUGUUUUAGCUGAGCUCUGAAGGAUAUUGCAGCUUGCCUCGUGCAGGCUGGUAGGUGGAAUGCUGGUAUUACAAAUGUGAAGAUGAAUAGAUAUCUUUGGAUCAAAAUGCGGCUUCAAAGUCAAACAAAAAUUACAGACCCGUUUGAGUCUAUUGUAAUGACAAUAACAACAGAAGGAGGAAGAUAAAGGUCUUGAGCAGGGAGUUUUGGGGGAAGCAGGAGAUUGCUAGAAACAGUUUCUGAGAUCGAUUGAUUUGAAUAAUACUCUUGGGCACAGAGAACAUAGAGAGGUAAUGCCUGAAAAGAAUAAAUCAAAUAUCUCAUGGCAUUUUAUGCAUUCAUUCCUCUCCUGGACUCUGUUUUUAGUUUUCAAAAAUAUGAACGAUUCCAGGCAAGCAGAGAAUGGCCUGUAUAUUUCCCACCGUGAUGAAUAGUUGCAUGUUAGCCUGUUCAUUUAAUGACAGCUAUGUAUAGUUCCCAUAAUAAAUCAGACUCCAGGACACAAAUGCCUUCUGUUUACCUUUGAAGCACUUUUUUUUUUCUUUCCCUGAGAAUUGUGAUUGUUGCAAAAGCCUGAUGUAUCCACCCACACAGCAGCACCCAAACAGCUUGUUACUUGCAGGUUUCAGUCCUGCAAGGUCCUUAGUCCUCCCAGUGCCGCAUGAUGCCCCAAGGCACCCGUGUCUUGCAGGACCUAAGCCUGCACAGGCUGCAGAAAAUGGACUCAGCCCACUGUGAGCAGUUAAGGGGAAAGUUCAGUCUGCACUUUGCAUGAAAAGUCUUGUUUUAAUCUGACUCUCGGUCAAUUAGUUUGAUCAUUACAUUAUAAACACUUGUCAUCUUUUGUAACAUGUGCCUUUGAAAAGCAAUGCUUGAACUUCUCAGCCCCUGAAAUCGCAUAUUUUUAACCAGAAGUUACACUAUGACUUCUCUGUACAAUAAUUAACCGAUAUGUUUCUUGACAUACAUAUACUGAAAUUCUCUUUGAUUUUAAAAAUCAGCAAUAUUGAAAGAUGCACACUUUAAGUCACUCUAUGCCAUCUUAAGUUACUGUGACUUCUAGAUAGCUUGUAUAACACUAAUCAUCAUCUAAUAAGAACACCUGACUCAUACCUGCCGGAUGAGAAGCGGGUGAGAUGCAUUCUUGCACUGCUCCAGCCCCAAAACAUUAUGCUCAAGAGAAAAGAGGGCAAUUUCUAUCUGUUUUUAUUUAUUUUGGGAAAACUUUCCAUGCAAAUAAAUGUAGCACAAAGUAUUGAGAACUGCCAAAAGACAUACAGAUUAUGUAUAUUUUUAUAGCCACAAAGUCACUCAAAUGACUUUGCUUCCAUUUCAUUGUUUGGCAUAGAUCACUUAUUGUGCAUAUGUUUUCAGAUGGAAAUGCUGAAUUAGACUAUGGCAAAAUGGAUAAUGCAGCCCUAAUGCUAGCAUGAGCUAAUAAGAAACCAGCAAUGAAUCUACUGCUGCAGAUUGAAGUACAUGCAUUUCAUAUUAUUACUCAAGGCUUGUCUCUCCGAUUAGAUGAUUGCAUAACCUUAAUAUUAUAAAUCUUGCAUGAUGUGAAUUGUUCAGCUGUAACCAUAAUCAGUUUUUACUAAGGUGGCAUUUCUGUCAUCUUGUUAAACACAAACGUUAUAUAUGCGCUAGUCAUAAUUUUAUAACAGUUGCUUUUAGCAAGAGACGGUUUUGUCGGUCGGGAGCCGCAGUUUAGUGCAGAGAUGCAAUGAAAGUGCUUAAGUUGCUCAUAAUGUCAGUGUUUGCUUCAGAAAAUAUCACUUUGUAGAUUCUUUCAUUUUCUGAGUGCAAAUUUCUCUUCAAAAGAAAUGGAAAAACUUGCAAGCUCUUAGCCAGAACUCUCUGAAAACCACUUUUCAGAUCUACUGAGACCCAGGUUUAUUUAAUCAAGUGGAAGCUGCAUGCUCUGCAGAAGCUGCGGCACCCUGUGGACCUUCUCCAGCGCUGCGACUCAGCUUGGAGAGCCCCAGUUAUUUCAACCCCUUUUUCCACAGAGGAAACACAGUCGAUCUCCUCGUCUGUAAAUUACCGCUGGCAGGGCUUUAUGGGGAUGCCACUGCCACCAACAUUUAAGGGUUUAAGACCCCCCUAUAAACCUCAGCAAGGUUCUCCUCUCCUAUCAAUUCACCAGGGAUUUGUGCAGUUAAAUCUCACAGCGGGUAAUAAAUUUCCUGGCACAUCAUGGGAUGAAGGGGACCCGACUGGCACUGAUCUCGGUGGGUUGAGUCCAGCUUAUCUCCUUGACAAAUUUAUUGCCUUCAUCACGUGCUCUGGAGAGAAAAAGCCAAAUCCCUGCCUUGUAAUGGACACUUUCCUAUUUUUUACUGUAGAUCUUGCAUUGAGAUAGGCCUUAACAAAGAAGAACAUGCUGAAGAGAUAAGAACAAUUCAGGCAGUUCCAUGUGCUGUAAUGUGCAGAAAGCCCAGAGACUGCAUAACCAGGGCCGUGGGAUUACAAAAGAAGAGUUACAAGCUCUCCUCAGCUCCCUGGCUUAUAAUAAAUCUAAUCAAGGGAGAUUUCUUGUUGGUCUUAAUGGCAGUGAAAACAGUCCUAUACUCAGUAAUUUCAUACUCAAAUCACAUCUUAGGUCUAAGCUAGUAGAAAAUCUAAGGCCAAAUAACUUUUAUCAGAUGAUCUGUUGACAUGAUUUUCUUAUAGGAGUUAUAAAACAAUCAGUGCAGUGGCCUGUUUGGAACAAAAGAGUUGUUUCUGUUUUGAGCAUGUUUAGUAUCACUGGCACACUUGUCGGUGUAGAAAUCAGUGUCUUCAGAGACAACUACCAGGCGUGAGGCAAAGGUAAGGGGGGGAACACCAGAACUAGAAGAUUUGACCGCACAGUGCCCCUGCACAUAAGAAUUGAGAGAGAUAAAAUUACCCUGGGACUCCCUGGCUGCUCACAGCCCAACCAAGGUUGUGCCAAUAAAGGUUCAUAUAUCCACCAGCCAUUCCAAAGUCACUUGUGCAAAUCAGAGGUUUUUCUGGCAGCUGCUUGCUCUCAGCCUGUAGCUCCUGCUACAGUAAGAACUGCAGAGCCUUGUUGGACAGUUAUUAUCUGUAUGGUCCAGAGAACGACCUGCAGAAGCCUCCAGCUCCCAAAGCUUCUAAACACUGGGCAAGUCCAAGCUCACACCCUAAAUUCCAUACUCAGGUCUUACUGGAGCUUUAUUUCACAAGCCCAUGAGGGGGAGGGAGGGGUGGCUUGUGUGGCCACUGGUCCUGCAGUAAACCCCAGCCAGCAAUUUCUCUGCAAAGUUUGCUGUGCUGAAACCCUGACUGACACUGGGGUGGAUUUCUAACAUGGCUGAGAGGAAAAGAUAGUUUUUAAUAUCAGUUUAAAAAAAAAAAAAAAAAGAAUGUAUGGCUCCUAUAAACUGUUAAAACUUCACUUUAUUGAUCAUAAAUCUGUGUUUUGCUCAAUGCAAAAGUUUUUCAUCUUACACAGAAAAAUGCUGAAACAGCUACAAAUGCCAAAAACACAAAGUUUUCUCUCUUGGACAAUUUAUAGGGAAGUUAUUGGAUUUUUUGUUGUUGUUGUUUAAAAGCAUUCUUACCACACUGCUUGCCCACUGGUUUGGAGAAAUUGCCUUUCAUUGCCAAGCUUUGUCCCUGACCUUCUCUGAUAGGAAGAGACCUGAAAAAUAAAGCUAGCCUCUUUUACAUACUGCUGGAGUUGAAAGGGUUGAAUAGGAUGAGAAGUACAAGCAAUGGGAAUGAGGGUUCAGUACAAUCAGGGAAGGACAUAUGCUAUUGCAAACGUACUGCUGAACAGGCAGCAAAACUGCUGUAGAGCACAGAGCUCACUGCAGACAGAAAACCCUGUGCCCAGCUUUAUCCCAUGGUCCACUCCCCAAACCACUUCAAAACACGAUGCUAUCAGUGCAGGACCACCAGGCACCCCAUGGGGAACUGUUCUGGGAGUGAACGUGGCCCUGGGGUACAUCCCCAUGCUCAGUGGCUCUGGGCACAGGCCCAUCUGUAUCCCAGUCCCUCCAUCUACAAGUGGGGUAAUGCACCUUGGGACCGAGAGAUUAACAGCCCUGUUUUGGUAUUAAUGAUCUGCAAGGACUGGGAAGGUGCCAAGCAGGGGAAAGAAAUCUUGAUUUAUGAAUAGUAAAACACAAAACUGGAAGGAAAAAAUAGAGCAUUCUAGACCAACCGAGGGUGGUAUUGAGACAGGGGAGCUUUACCCUCUGAAACAUGUAUUUAACAUGGGUAAUCUUUACAGAAUUGUAGAAUAUCCCGAGUUGAAAGGGACCCACAAGGAUCACCAAGCCCAACACUCAGCUCCAGAUAGGAACACCCAAACCCACACCCUACAUCUAAGAGUGGUAUCCCAACGCUCCCUGAGCUCCGGCAGCUCGGGGGAGGAGCAAUAGGAUAAAGUUUUCUGUUUUUCUUUUUUUUUUCUUUUGCAUCCAAUUAUUGCAAAUCAUAUGAAUUAUGCUUUUUUCAGUUGUAACCUGGAAGCCCCCUUUCUUCUGCUUGUUCUCCAUCAUGUUGUACAUCAGCUCUCUGUGCUUCCCUACAGUGGUCAGCACCUCCGUCGAGAUAAUGGACUGGAUCAUCACCUGGACAGCAUUUCUCUUCAGUCAUAAAUCAUGAUGGGAAUACUGUAAACAAAAGCCAUGAAAUAUGAACCCACAUAAAUAAAGGAAGGGAAGGACUGCAUUGCCUGGGGAAAUCUGUGCAAAGAAGUUGGGGGGGGAGCAGGGGGGAGACUUGCACUGUCAGAGGAACCUCAACAAAUGCAUAUCCUGAUUUUAAAGUUUAACUGUUACUAUAAUUAUUAAGAUUGGCCUGCUCAUGUGUCUCACAGGAAGCGGCUUUGUUCUCCUUUCUGCUAAUUUCACGUGUUUUCUGUUCCUCUUGGGCUUUACUUUUAUUUCUGUGCUUUUCCCACUUCUAGUAUUUCUGUCUACAAAUACCUUUGUUAUUUCAUCAUCCUUCCCAGCACACAUGGUCACCAACUCUUGGACAGUUUCUUCUUCCUUUGCUUCUGUUCUGCUAAAUUCACAUACUUCUCGGUACCAAGCUGAGACCUCCAGACAGCUCCUGCAGCAAAAGAUAUGGGUCACGCAAGUCUUGAGCUUUAGCUGUCAUUCUUGUUCCAAAACUGGGAUACAAGCACAUCAGCAUGCUUCAUUAAACCCAAAAUGUCAAAUCAUCCUUCACAACCACCAAGCCCUCACGAAUAUGAGCAGCUCUGUGGUUUUGGAGAAUUUUGUGAUAAAGGACACAGCAUUUAGCAGAUGGUACUAUUAGGAGGAAAAGUAAAAAAAAAAAGGAGGAGGGAAGAAGAAUGUUAAAAAAUGUGAAAAAAUGAAUAGCCUUGAAGUCCUAGGUGCUGUAGGGAUUCCUUGAUGCUAAAAUUGUUGUUAAUCUUGUAAUGAGAAUUCACUCUUUAUGUUUAUUGAAACAGAGGUGAAAAGGAAGAGAAUGCAUCACUGCUUUACAUCAUAACUGAAGCGAAUCUGCACGUCCAGUCCACUGAGGAGACAGCUCUGUUUUCCUCAGCAUCGCUGCAGACAUACCAGGAAGUCUAAAAUACUUUGGGAAGUAAAAUUUUGAGCAGUUAUUUUAUAUAUGUCAUAUCCAGUGGUUCACCUUGCUGCCCUGAGGCCACUUCCGUAUGACAGCUAAACUGCUGAGUGCUUAUUUAGCCUAAUACUGGCUGCCACUGCUAAUUCCCUAGCCUGUGGGAUCCACUACUUUGUGUUUCAUAGAGCUGAAAGACCCUAUUUUAGAAAAUAGUGUUUGUAUCGAAAACUGAUGCCAGUGCAUCACCACUCCUUCAGAGAAGGACUUGACGAACUCUCGCUUUUAGUGUUUCAUUGAAUGUUUGGCUCAGUUUCCUUCUGACGAGCAAGGAUUUUUGCAUGGGUGUAGUUUUACUUUCUAAAAUAACAAAUGUCUGUCUGUUCGGUGAUGUGCGUGCAUCAGAAGACAGGGUAAAAUAAACAGGCUGAAGGGCUUUGAUUUGCAGCACGGUUAAGCAGUGCAGGUAGAGCUGUGUUUCUUUUGGAUCAGCUGCUUUGCUUCGCCUUUGCAGUGCACUUCAUAAAUGCUGCAGACGGGUUUUUCAGAGCUUAUAAACUUAGCAGAAAUAAAAAGAACUAAGGGGCCUGACAGCUGAGAGAACUUUAUAAGUGCCACUGAAAGCCAGUAGGUCCCCAGCUCCUGGGGAGUAUAUCAGAGCCCUUGCAGGGUUUAUAAAUUCUGCUUAUUUACUGGCAGGUUUCCAUCCUGGUCAUAAAAGCCAUAGGUCAAAAAGCUCUGUUAGAUGGGGAACACGAAACCCAGCUUUCAUUUAACUCCAGCUUCUUGCACAAGGCUGUGUAGCUCAUCAGUGCAACUGUGGUGUACAGCCCUAAAUGUCACUGGGAGCCCAACUGAGGACAAGUGUCCACAGCUCCUGGCUUUGUGUAGAGCAGAUCCCUGAAGAAGUGAGCUCCCGUUCAGGCUCUAUUUAUAUCAGUCUUUGCUCCUUACAAUAGGGGAAACCCUAAAGGUUUGCUCAGGAGGGGUUUUGUCCCAGUUCAUCUUAACCCACCUCCAGGGCUGCUCCGAGCCCCUGGGGUGUGAAUCGAUCUGCUGUUUCCUUCUCCUUCAUGCACCCAUCUCCAUCUCAGAAAAUCUGGGCUCAUGAAUAGACCAAUUUGUCCACAGGAGCCCAAGCAGCUCCUCCCCUGCUCCACAUCCCUCAGCACUGCUAUGGGCAGGAAGAGGAGGAAUCACCAGAUCACAUCAGGUUCCUUCUAAGUAUCGCAGUCCUGGCUCAGCUCCACCCCAGCUGACAAGCUGCUUUAAUGGAUAGGCAGUGGCCUUCAGUGGAGGGGCUAAAUGUAAAACUUUCCUCUGCUUCUCUUGUCAAAGUUAAAAGCUUUUCAUGCCUGUGUUAAUGUUUCCUUUUUUUUUUUUUCCCUCCUGUCUGCUGGCACCAAUGACAAAUACUACAUCUUGCAUUGAGUAACAGUAUAUUGAAUGGCUGGCAGAGGCAGAAUACGGCACCUGUAAUUUAUCUCCGGGAGUUUGGGUUGGAUGACACUGCUGGGAACAGACCGGGGCUCUGAGCUGUCACCUGAUUACUAAUUCUAGGAUUUCUCCUCCGAGAGUGAGAAGGAGUGAGCUAGGAUGAAGGGUACAAAAAGCAAAUCAAUAAACAGCGAUUUUUCUGGGAGAAAAGCAACGCCAUCAUACUCUGUGCACUUCAUCUUUAUCUGACCAUCUGACAUUGCACAGUACCUGCUGGCUGCCGCCAAGCUUCGUCCUGGAGCUCAGUGGUCCAACACAGAACGAAGGCUGCGAAAUCAAUUUUCUGCUUCCCAUCUCUAUUCCAUCCCAUCAUCAGGGAUAUGCAUCACAGGACAUUUUUGUUGUCACUUGCAC
ensembl:lncRNA